GACAGAGGUGCCAAGCGUUAGGCGGAAUCACUGGGCUUAAAGCGUGUAUAGGCGGAUUUGUAAGUACCUUGUGAAAUCCCACGGCUCAACCGUGGAACUGCUCGGUAUACUGCUUAUCUUGAGCCACUUAGGGGCUACCGGAACAAAUGGUGGAGCGGUGAAAUGCGUAGAUAUCAUUUGGAACGCCAAUGGUGAAAACAGGUAGCUGGGAGUGUGCUGACGCUGAGACACGAAAGCCAGGGGAGCGAACGGG
rnacentral:rRNA from 1 species